CAUACUUACGUUGCCUCGGCAGGUCGCGCUACCUCGUAGCACCCUACCCUGUACGGCCUACCCGGGAGACGCGGGUAAGUCUGCCGGCGGCCCAUGAAACUCCUGUUUAGCAUUGAAUUCUGAAUAUAUAACUAAAUAAGUUAAAACUUUCAACAACGGAUCUCUUGAGUUCUGGCAUCGAUGAAGAACGCAGCGAAAUGCGAUAAGUAAUGUGAAUUGCAGAAUUCAGUGAAUCAUCGAAUCUUUGAACGCACAUUGCGCCCAUUAGUAUUCUAGUGGGCAUGCCUGUUCGAGCGUCAUCUCAACCCUUAAGCCUCUGUUGCUUAGUGUUGGGAGCCUACAGCACUCGUUGCUCCUCCAAGUUUGUGGCGGAGUCCGUUCACACUCUAGACGUAGUACCUUUAUCUCGCCUAUCAGUCGGACCGGUCCCCUGCCGUAAAAGCCUUCUUUCUUAAGGUUGACCUCGGA
rnacentral:rRNA from 1 species